GCGCGCCUGGAUCCCCCUCGUCGCCAGCCGGAGCCUCUGCAUCCGCCCCCAACUACCGCUUGCGCUCCUCCGCAGCCCCUCUCCCUCCGCAUGGGGAUUCCUCGUGAGUGGUCAAGGACCUUCCAGUAAAGAUUCCGCUUCUGCUCUGGAUUCAAUUCUCUGAAUCAGUUGAGCACUGCUUGAGCAGACGGGCAGGCUGUUACUGUUCUUACUGGCGCCUUAUGCACUACUUGUGCCGCCGCAUUCUCAGUACCAGCACAACAAAUGCACCCAGCCAUUUUCAGUACCAAUCCAGUUUGAGUCGGAGAGAGUCGAGAUUCUUGAGUCAGGUGUCCUUGUUGAGGAGAUUGUGCACCACUUGGAAUUUGUUUCGUCCUCUCUGGAUGCUGCUCUGCAAACAGCUUCUGAAGUUUCAGCUUCAUCUGAAUUCCAAGAUGUGAAGUCAUGCUCAUUUGACAAAGAACUAAAGCAGGCAAAGCCAUGUGAAAGCAUGCUCAUACUAUGAGAAUUCAUCCCUUUUUUGGAACAGGAAGUGCUAAGAGAGAUGGACGCCAGACGGCCAGAGCCGUAGUACCGUAACAGAGAAGGUAGUCCCCUCCAAGCUUGUCAUAGACUUCCUGGCUUCCUCGUUGUCAACGACUGAGGAGGCGGAUCAUAGGAUUAUUCCAGCAUGCACAGACGAAGACGAUUUUUUGCCUUGUUAAUUUGCGAGAUCAUUAAUCAGAAAGUGCUCCUAACACUAUUUGACAUUUGCUUUGUCCCCAACAAGAGAAUGGCAAUAUCAACUAACAGAAAGAGGGAGGUAUAAACUUUCACAGCUAUGCUGUAAAAAUCGAACAGGAAACUACCUUGGUACUGAAGGAACAGGGGUGUCAAGCUUGGCUGUCAGGCAAGUAGGAACAUGAGCUGCAACGAUGACAUCACUGGUAAACCCAACCUAUUCGCAUCUCUACCAUCGUUCCUUAAGCUCAGAUGAGCACUUUAUGGGUCUUGGGUGCCUCCCAUGCUCUUCCUUUUUUUGGUCUUCCUUUUGGCUUGGU